rnacentral:rRNA from 1 species
UACGGAGGGUGCAAGCGUUAAUCGGAAUUACUGGGCGUAAAGCGUGCGCAGGCGGUUUGUUAAGUCCGCUGUGAAAUCCCCGAGCUCAACUUGGGAAUUGCAGUGGAUACUGGCAAGCUGGAGUAUGGUAGAGGAAGGUGGAAUUCCCGGUGUAGCAGUGAAAUGCGUAGAGAUCGGGAGGAACACCAGUGGCGAAGGCGGCCUUCUGGACCAAUACUGACGCUCAUGCACGAAAGCGUGGGGAGCAAACAGGAUAGAAACCCUGG